AUAUCCGGAAUGAAAUGAUCCUCCAUGAAGAUCCUCCAUGAGAGCCACAAGUGAACAUUCAACAACUUGAAAACUGGAUUGAAAAUGAGAGACAGAGCAGCCACUGCAGAAGCUUCCAAAAUCACUCUGCAGCUCCUUGUACUGCUGCAAUCCACGUGGUGAAGUAGCUCCCAUGUUGCAAUUUGGUUGAUGACAUCCUUCGAAGAACAGGAGAUCUGAAGUGGACACAUUAUUCCAGAAGAGGCCCCACUGAUGUUCUGCACAAUUUCAACAUAACGUCCCACCUCCGAUACUCAAAAGGACAUGGACUUUGCUGGCUUGGCCAGAAUUUAUUGCCCAUCUGUGAUUGCCCAGAGGGCUAUCAAGUGUCAACUGCAUUGCUGUAUGGCUGGAGUCACGCACAGGCCCAACCAGGGAAUUGGAAAGGGGGCAUUUAUUGACAGGGAGCUCAACACAUACACUGGAUCAAGAACUGCCAGGAAUACUUAAUUCUCAGGAGCUUUGAACAUGGAAGGAACAAGCAUCGUUUACAGUGAAGAGAAACCAUACAUGUGGUCUGUGUGGACAAGCCUUCAGUCAGUUGUCUGGCCUGUCGAUACGUAAAUGCAGUCAAAACAGGGUGACAACAAUGACAUCAAGCAGCUCUUGCUUUGUAAUAUCACAGUGAUGGAUCUCAGUUUGAGUUAAGCAAGGGCCACUCAUCUCCUCUCCUCCCUACAUUCUUGGUGAAAACAUGGACCAACCAGCUGAAUUCUGAAUGUGAGAGGGACUAUCCACUAUCUUAAGGCUCCAUUUGACAGAACAUUGUAUUAAGGCAUCAUGACAAAGCUAAAUUCAAUAGAAGCCAGAGAAUAUUAUUCUUCCUUGGAUAGCUGGGUUUUGAAAACAUUGUGUCUUGAGACCUCAGUAGAUUGAAACAAGGUGAAUUUAUUCCAACUUGCACCACAUACACGCGGAAGAGGUCUUUCAGCCAAGCUCGGAGACACUGUCCUAUUUACAGCUACUCAGAAACAGCAUAUUAAGGCAUUUUCAUGCCAGAAUGGCUGCAUGUAACAUUGAUUUAAAAUAAAUUUUAUGUCAGUAAAUUACUACAAAAACAGGAUGCAGUUCAGUUUCUGCCAAAGUUCUGAGUCCUCUAAUUUCAACAGGACUGCCACUUCCACAUUAUCUUCAGAGCUUCUCUAUCCCACCAUCAGCUCACAGCUGGGUGAGCAAUACUUACGUGACUAUCUUAAGCUAUACAGAUAGUUUCUGAGCCCUAAGUAACUGUUGAUGGUUCACUGUUAUGGACCUGCAGUUAAACUGUCUGAGCAACAAUAAUUCUGACCUGAUAUGGUUGUAUUUGACAGUUACCUUGUGCUGCACUGCUGGGACAAGUUUAUUUUCUACUUGUUCUGUGUUUUAAAGUUCUGCUCCUUUUCCUUCUCCGUUUCCAAUGUACAUUCUCUUACCCUCCUUAACCUACUUCACUCUGGUUUAAUAAUACUGAAAUACAGAAGAGGAGGCUUGUGAUUGUAGGAGGGCAAUUGUCUCAGCUGCAGGAGUUCCUCAGGAUCAGGUCCUAGUCCCAACCACCUUCAGCUGUUUCAUCAAUGACCUUCCCUGCGCCGUAACGUCAGAAGUGGGAAUGUUUGCUGAUGCUUGCACAAUACUUUAGCACCAUUUGUGGCUCCUUGGAUACUGAAGCAGUAGAUAUCUAAAUGCAGUAUGCCUGGACAACAUUGACGUGAGCCUGCCAUGUGACAAAGAACAUUUGCACCAACAAGUACCAACAAAUAAUGAUCAAAUCUGAGAAAUGAGAAUCGAACCACAGCCAAGUGACAUUCACUGGGUGUAUCUUUAUGGAAUUCCCCAUUAUCAUCAUCCUGGGGACGAAUAUUGAUGAGAAACUGAAUUGGAAAUAUCAGCUGAAUAAUGUGCAUCCAAAAUAUAUCAAACCCUCUCAACCACCUGACUUCCUGUUCAACCACGUUCAGGGAUUUGUGAAUGUUCAUUCCAAGGUCUGUUUGUCCCUCUACACCAUUUGCUAUUCCUCGCUUUCAUAGUUCAGUCUCCCUAAAUUCAUUAUCACUCACUCCUGUGGAUUCAUUUCCUUUCACCAUUUUAUCUUUCCACUUGAUUGACAACUCCCUGCAGUCCACGGUUUUCUUCGUCAUGGUCAACUACAUGAUUAUUUAUUCUAAAUUAUGGCUUCUACAACUAGGUUUUAAUGAUGGUUAUACAUCAGAAAACAAUGGAACUCCACUGGAUUAAAAACUGAAAGGACUGCAAUUGCUGUAAAUCAGAAACAAAUAAAAAACAGAAAUUACUGGAAAAGGUCAGUAGAACUGGCAGCAUCUGUGGAGAGAAAACAGAGAUAACCUUUCAGGUCGAGUAACCCUCAGAUUUCCACUGGAAACAGGUGUCCAGAUAUGGUUCCUUCUUCGGUGGGAAUUCGCAGCACCUAUAACAGCAGAGUAUAACUAUAUGUGAAUUUGUGGGUGGCUCCGGAGUUUAUUUUUCUGAAUGAUCCCUUCCCACACUUGGGACUGGUGAACAACGUCUCCCCAGUACACCUGAGUAAAUGAGUUUCCACCUCAGUGGGUAAUUGAAUCCUUCCCUCGGUCCGCACAGUUCCCUGGUUUCUCUGUGCUGUGGGUGUCCUUGUCUCCGUCCAGAUUGGGCGAUCAGGUGAAUUCGAGUCAAUGCAGAGAGAAGGCCUAUUUUUUUUUCUUGUUGUGA